AUAAACCUUUCUUCUACCACCCAGGCUCCCACUGAUAUCAGACUCAGUAUCAUAAAAUGGGUUCAUUAUCUACAACUGUUAAACACAUCUCAGAAUCUUUCGUCAAGCCAAAGUAUGAAGUGCAUGAGGCUAAUCAACCUUACUACUUAGCUCCUUUAGAUUUAACUAUGCUUUCUGUUCAUUACAUCCAAAAGGGUCUUCUCUUCAUCAAACCUUCACAUAUAAAUGACCAAGCAUUCUCCAUUCACAAAUUCCUUCAGAGUCUCAAGGACUCCCUUUCACUCACCCUCAUCCAUUUCUACCCAUUAGCUGGCCAACUCGCGGCACAAGUAGACGAAGACCAGCACAAAUAUCUAGUCUUCGUCGACUGCAACAAAGGCCCUGGUGUGAGAUUCAUCCAUGCUACAUUGGAUAUGACUAUAUCCGACCUACUUUCACCCACUGAUGUUCCUCUAGUGGUUCAAUCUUUUUUUGACCACGACAAAAAUGUUAACCAUGAUGGUCAUUUCAAGUCUUUGUUAACUAUUCAAGUCACGGAGCUUUUAGAUGGGAGUGUUCAUUGGUUGCUCUAUGAAUCAUGCCCUAGCAGAUGGAACCUCAUACUGGCAUUUUUGGAAAAUGUGGUCUGAGAUCCAUAGAGCAAAACACGAGGAAUUAGUUCCUGUAUCGCGUGUGCCAAUACAUAAACGUUGGUUUCCUAAUUGUUGUGAUCCACCUGUUAUCCUUCCAUUUGCGAAACCAGAUGAAUUCGUUAGUAGGUAUAAAGCACCUCAACUCAAAGAGAGGAUCUUCCAUUUUUCCUCUGAGUCAAUGGCGAGACUUAAAGAAAAAGCAAAUGAGGAGUGUAACACAACCCAUAAAAUUUCAUCCUUUCAGGCCUUAUCAUCACUCUGUUGGCGUGCUAUUGUUCGAGCAAACCAUCUAUCUUAUGAUCAGGUGACAAAUUGCAAAUUAGCGGCUAAUAAUAGGCAUAGACUACAUCCACCUUUGCCUAAAGAGUAUUUUGGUAACUGUAUAAGCACGUUGAAAGCUACUACAAAAGUUGGUGAACUACUUGAUCAUAACUUAGGGUGGGCUGCAUCAUUGUUAAACCACACAGUGGUAAAUCACAAUGACAAAGUUGUGCGCGAUUUCAUAAAUGAAUGGCUGGAAGUUCCUCUGAUCUACCAGCUUGACAAGUUUUUUGACUCUUCUAGUGUGAUGAUGGGAAGCUCACCGAGAUUUGACAUGUACGGGAAUGAAGUUGGACUCGGAAAAGCAGUAGCUAUUCGUAGUGGGUAUGCAAACAAAGUAGCUGGAAAGGCGACUUCUUAUGAAGGAUAUGAGGGUGGAGGAAGUGUGGACUUGGAAAUAUGUUUACCCCCUGAUACAAUGAGAGCUCUUGAAUCAGAUGAGGAAUUCAUGAAUGCUGUGUCAUCACCAUUUAUAGGCUACUAAUUAUCUAUUAAGUCACAAUUGAAAAAUAGAAGUCGAGAUUUAUCAUUUUGUAUCCUGAUGUAUUCUCUGUUUGGAAGCAUAAUAAGGUUGUAAUCUUGAACCACAUUUCUCAGUCAUAUGAGGUGAAUAUUUA